ensembl:snRNA U2 U2 spliceosomal RNA
AUCGCUUCUCAGCCUUUUGGCUAAGAUCAAGUGUAGUAUUAAACACUCAUCUUCAAAUUUCAUAUUUCUUUUUUAGCCUGUGCUACUCUGU